UAUUGGGCAAGCAGACAGUGAAAUUUGUCAUUGGCUCAACAUGUUUUUAUGUUCCAAACUAUUUGCAGUGGUGCUUCCUAGUUCUAUCAAGCAGUCCAUGGCAGAGAUGAUAAGAGGUGCUGAGACUUUGUCUUAGGAAAUGGGAACACUUGGAAUUAAAAAGGCAUUGUUUUGGCAGGAGCUCAAUGUUACAACAACACAAGUGGUUGGAAGGGCAAAUGAUGUUUUCCCAUACCUUUUGGGUUCUU